rnacentral:rRNA from 1 species
CAGGACGAACGCUGGCGGCGCGCCUAACACAUAGCAAGUCGAACGGAGAGCGUAGUUUGAAUCUUCGGAAGGAAAGAUAACGUUCUUAGUGGCGGACGGGUGAGUAACACGUGAGCAACCUGCCUUGCAGAGAGGGAUAACGAUUGGAAACGAUCGCUAAUACCACAUAACAUACAGAUAUCGCAUGAUGACUGUAUCAAAGAUUUAUCGCUGCAAGAUGGGCUCGCGUCUGAUUAGAUAGUUGGUGAGGUAACGGCUCACCAAGUCGACGAUCAGUAGCCGGACUGAGAGGUUGAACGGCCACAUUGGGACUGAGACACGGCCCAGACUCCUACGGGAGGCAGCAGUGGGGGAUAUUGCACAAUGGGGGGAAAAACCCCUGAUGCAGCGACGCCGCGUGAGGGAAGAAGGUUUUCGGAUUGUAAACCUCUGUCUUUGGGGACGAUAAUGACGGUACCCAAGGAGGAAGCUCCGGCUAACUACGUGCCAGCCGCGGC